rnacentral:rRNA from 1 species
UACGUAGGGUGCAAGCGUUGUCCGGAAUCAUUGGGCGUAAAGAGCUCGUAGGCGGUCUGUCGCGUCGGCUGUGAAAACCCGAGGCUCAACCUCGGGCCUGCAGUCGAUACGGGCAAACUAGAGUACUGCAGGGGAGACUGGAAUUCCUGGUGUAGCGGUGAAAUGCGCAGAUAUCAGGAGGAACACCGGUGGCGAAGGCGGGUCUCUGGGCAGUAACUGACGCUGAGGAGCGAAAGCGUGGGGAGCGAACAGG